AUCCGGCUGAUGAGUCCAAAAUAGGACGAAACGUGCGUCCUGGAU
rnacentral:hammerhead_ribozyme from 1 species